GCCUAAUACAUGCAAUUCGACGAAACUUCUUUAUCACCGAGNUGCUUGCACUCACCGAUAAAGAGUUGAGUGGCGAACGGGUGAGUAACACGUGGGCAACCUGCCCAAAAGAGGGGGAUAACACUUGGAAACAGGUGCUAAUACCGCAUAACCAUAGUUACCGCAUGGUAACUAUGUAAAAGGUGGCUAUGCUACCGCUUUUGGAUGGGCCCGCGGCGCAUUAGCUAGUUGGUGGGGUAAAGGCUUACCAAGGCAAUGAUGCGUAGCCGAACUGAGAGGUUGAUCGGCCACAUUGGGACUGAGACACGGCCCAAACUCCUACGGGAGGCAGCAGUAGGGAAUCUUCCACAAUGGGCGAAAGCCUGAUGGAGCAACGCCGCGUGGGUGAAGAAGGUCUUCGGAUCGUAAAACCCUGUUGUUAGAGAAGAAAGUGCGUGAGAGUAACUGUUCACGUUUCGACGGUAUCUAACCAGAAAGCCACGGCUAACUACGUGCCAGCAGCCGCGGUAAUACGUAGGUGGCAAGCGUUAUCCGGAUUUAUUGGGCGUAAAGGGAACGCAGGCGGUCUUUUAAGUCUGAUGUGAAAGCCUUCGGCUUAACCGGAGUAGUGCAUUGGAAACUGGGAGACUUGAGUGCAGAAGAGGAGAGUGGAACUCCAUGUGUAGCGGUGAAAUGCGUAGAUAUAUGGAAGAACACCAGUGGCGAAAGCGGCUCUCUGGUCUGUAACUGACG
rnacentral:rRNA from 1 species